UGUUCUUUUUUCUUCUUUUUCU
rnacentral:sRNA from 1 species